rnacentral:snoRNA from 1 species
AUGGCAUGAUGGGGACAUUUCUUGAUGACUUCAUUUAAUCUUUCCCAUGACUCAUGCAACUGCUCACCAUCUUGCUACGAAAAGCUAGUGAGAGCUCACCUU